AGGAGGAACAGCCCCAGUGGCGGGGCAGCUCUGGAAACCUGGAUUCACCCCCUGCAGGAACUCCGGAGGUCUCAGUCUGCAGGGCCUGGAGGCUCCCGGGCGGG
rfam:Canis lupus familiaris chromosome X, whole genome shotgun sequence.